rnacentral:snoRNA from 1 species
UUCACAGAUGAUGAAGAAAUGUUUGAACAUUCAAAGUGACUAGCCACGGCAAUGUUGUUUACUAAAUUAACACCAUCUUUCGGGACUGAUU